GACGAACGCUGGCGGCGUGCUUAACACAUGCAAGUCGAACGCUGAAGCUUGGUGCUUGCACUGGGUGGAUGAGUGGCGAACGGGUGAGUAAUACGUGAGUAACCUGCCCUUGACUCUGGGAUAAGCCUGGGAAACUGGGUCUAAUACUGGAUACGACAUGCCACUGCAUGGUGGUGUGUGGAAAGGGUUUUACUGGUUUUGGAUGGGCUCACGGCCUAUCAGCUUGUUGGUGGGGUAAUGGCCUACCAAGGCGACGACGGGUAGCCGGCCUGAGAGGGUGACCGGCCACACUGGGACUGAGACACGGCCCAGACUGCUACGGGAGGCAGCAGUGGGGGAUAUUGCACAAUGGGCGGAAGCCUGAUGCAGCGACGCCGCGUGAGGGAUGACGGCCUUCGGGUUGUAAACCUCUUUCAGCACGGAAGAAGCGAGAGUGACGGUACGUGCAGAAGAAGCGCCGGCUAACUACGUG
rnacentral:rRNA from 1 species